rnacentral:rRNA from 1 species
GAUGAACGCUGGCGGCGUGCCUAAUACAUGCAAGUCGAGCGAACAGACGAGGAGCUUGCUCCUCUGACGUUAGCGGCGGACGGGUGAGUAACACGUGGAUAACCUACCUAUAAGACUGGGAUAACUUCGGGAAACCGGAGCUAAUACCGGAUAACAUGUUGAACCGCAUGGUUCAACAGUGAAAGACGGUCUUGCUGUCACUUAUAGAUGGAUCCGCGCCGCAUUAGCUAGUUGGUAAGGUAACGGCUUACCAAGGCAACGAUGCGUAGCCGACCUGAGAGGGUGGUCGGCCACAAUGGAACUGAGACACGGUCCAGACUCCUACGGGAGGCAGCAGUAGGGAAUCUUACGCAAUGGGCGAAAGCCUGAAGGAGCAACGCCGCGUGAGUGAAGAAGUUCUUCGGAUCGUAAAACUCUGUUAUUAGGGAAGAACAAAUGUGUAAGUAACUAUGCACGUCUUGACGGUACCUAAUCAGAAAGCCACGGCUAACUACGUG